rnacentral:rRNA from 1 species
GUCCACGCCGUAAACGAUGAUCACUCGCUGUUAGCGAUACACAGUUAGCGGCUAAGCAAAAGCAUUAAGUGAUCCACCUGGGGAGUACGGCCGCAAGGCUGAAACUCAAAGGAAUUGACGGGGGCCCGCACAAGCGGAGGAACAUGUGGUUUAAUUCGAUGAUACGCGAGGAACCUUACCUGGGCUUAAAUGUAAAGUGCAUUCCCCCGAAAAGGGGAUUUCCUUCGGGACUCUUUGCAAGGUGCUGCAUGGUUGUCGU